CUUUACAUAGGAAGCAAUUAAAAUGAGUCGCCGCCGAUCUACAAUCAUCAUCGCCUCCGGGGGCGUAUUCGGGUGCGCCUUGCUCGUCUUUAUGGAUGGAGCUGUGAUGGCAAGCAAGGCCAAGCUCCCCUACAACUUUCUCAUGUGGCUACCCACACUGGUCGCGCUGCUUGGUACCUUCGUUUUGUCGCUUGUGAAGCCCGUGUAUAUCCUGGGCACAGACAGUGACUUGGACGACGACGAUGACGGUAUUAAAAAGGCUAAAAGCAUGUUCUUUGUGGGAGCACUUCUUCUCUUCACGUCCAUCUGUCUUUCCAUAUGGAAGACGGUUGAUCCCUACGGAAACAAAGGAGUUGCCUGGCCAGGGGCGGCGCUGUUGGUACACUCGUUGCUUUUGAUGCUUAUGAACUAUGCUUUGUUUAUCGCGCGUGCGCAGUAUGAUGAGGAUUGAAGAUUAGAAAAGAAAACUACUACUGGUGCCGGUUUGACUCAUGAGCCGUGCUUCUUCUUAAUCAGUAUAAGAGUAUAGCCUUGGACACAGUGUUUCGAAUGCGUUAUAAAGUCGCUCCUUUUCGCUUAUCAUUGUAAGAAAACCCCGAUCGCCUCUGCAUCUGCCCAUGCUUUUCAUCGCUUCCAUUAUAUGUAUCUUGACACAUGCUGUUUUUGCCAAUGACCUGGAUCGCAUAG
rnacentral:misc_RNA from 1 species